rnacentral:tRNA from 1 species
AAGAAGUUAGUUAAAUAUAAUAAUGUUAGGUUGUCAAUCUUAUGUUGCUAAUAAUAUUAGUACUUCUUG